GCACCUGUAGCUCAGGGGAUAGAGCAAUGGUUUCCGGUACCAUGUGGCGGGGGUUCGAAUCCCUCCAGGUGCG
rnacentral:tRNA from 3 species